GGAGUCCUACGGGAGGCAGCAGUAGGGAAUCUUCCACAAUGGACGAAAGUCUGAUGGAGCAACGCCGCGUGAGUGAAGAAGGGUUUCGGCUCGUAAAGCUCUGUUGGUAGGGAAGAAAGAUAGAGGUAGUAACUGGCCUUUAUUUGACGGUAAUUACUUAGAAAGUCACGGCUAACUACCUGCCAGCAGCCGCGGUAAUACGUAGGUGGCAAGCGUUGUCCGGAUUUAUUGGGCGUAAAGCGAGGGCAGGCGGUUCAAAAA
rnacentral:rRNA from 1 species